rnacentral:rRNA from 1 species
GUGGGGAAUAUUGGACAAUGGGCGAAAGCCUGAUCCAGCCAUGCCGCGUGUGUGAAGAAGGUCUUCGGAUUGUAAAGCACUUUAAGUUGGGAGGAAGGGUAGUAACCUAAUACGUUGCUACUUUGACGUUACCGACAGAAUAAGCACCGGCUAACUUCGUGCCAGCAGCCGCGGUAAUACGACGGGUGCAAGCGUUAAUCGGAAUUACUGGGCGUAAAGCGCGCGUAGGUGGUUCAGUAAGUUGGAAGUGAAAUCCCCGGGCUCAACCUGGGAACUGCUUUCAAAACUGCUGAGCUAGAGUACGGUAGAGGGUGGUGGAAUUUCCUGUGUAGCGGUGAAAUGCGUAGAUAUAGGAAGGAACACCAGUGGCGAAGGCGACCACCUGGACUGAUACUGACACUGAGGUGCGAAAGCGUGGGGAGCAAACAGGAUUAGAAACCCCGGUAGUCC